GUAAUAAUCAUUUGUUGCUAUCAUCAUCUAGUGGUGUUUCGCAAGAAACAUUAAAUCAGAGCAUCGGAUCGUCGAGGGCCAACUCACUGCCACGACCUGUGUCACCAUCACCAUCUGUUAACAGCGAUAAGCCUGAAACAGGAGCCCCACAUGAUAAGCAUGAACGCGAGGAGGAAGAACGCAAACGCCGAAUUCAGCUGUACGUAUUUAUAUCACGAUGUAUUUCGUAUCCGUUUAAUGCUAAACAUCCUACGGAUAUGACAAAACGGCAACCAAAAACUACGAAACAACAAUUAGAGAUAAUUACCCAACGAUUCCAGGGAGCAGAUCGAUGUUUCCACGACGAGAUUGAUGGUCCAGUGACUCCUAGUAGCCGUCGCAAGAAUAGAAAGGCCGAUGGGUUUCGUGGUAUAUAUAUAUAUAUAUAUGUAGGUGUGUGUAUAUUUAUUGGGUCGACCGGUUGAAACGGAGGUGAAGUCGUAACUAAACUCUAAGCCUUAUGAUCUAUGCUUUAUGCUGCGGUGAGCGCCGUGUGGAUCGUGGAUUGUGGUCAAGAUUUGUUUUAAGCCAUCGCUAUCUAGAGUUGCAGCACCUGUAAUACCCACAAAAUUGUUACUCCGAUUACCAAGGUAAUCUCGCCAAUCUGAGCCAAUAGCAUUUAAUAUAAAUGUGGCCUCAAAAAAUAUGUUAUGAAAAAUAUUAAAUUGAAAUAUGAAAUCAUUAUUCGUUUCAUCUGGGAAGCGAAAACAUCUAAAAUCUAAAAUCUUAUAACCGAAAGCACAUAAAAUUUCAAGAAAAUCGGUGAAGCCAUUUCGGAGGAGUUCAAUUAAAAACAUUGUAACCCGAGAAUUUAAUAUAUUUGAGCAAUGCUAAAAUCAA